rnacentral:sRNA from 1 species
UCGAAUCGAGCGCGGUUUGGAGCUGGAUAAGGCCGCUGCCUGCCUCACGGCACAGCGCGCCCAGGAACGUGUC